GAUGAAGAACGUAGCGAAAUGUGAUAAGUAAUGCGAAUUGCAGAUUUCAGUGAGUCAUCGAAUCUUUGAACGCACAUUGCGCCCGCCAGUAUUCUGGCGGGCAUGCCUGUUCGAGCGUCAUUUCAACCAUCAAGCCCCCGGGCUUGCGUUGGGGCCCUGCGGCUGCCGCAGGCCCCGAAAAGCAGUGGCGGGCUCGCUGUCACACCGAGCGCAGUAGCGAUUCUCGCUCCGGGCGUCGGCGGCGGGCACCGGCCGUGAAACCCCCCCACAUCCACAAGGUUGACCUCGGAUCAGGUAGGAAUACCCGCUGAACUUAAGCAUAUCAAUAAGCGGAGGA
rnacentral:misc_RNA from 1 species